AAAUUGAAGAGUUUGAUCAUGGCUCAGAUUGAACGCUGGCGGCAGGCCUAACACAUGCAAGUCGAACGGUAGCACAGAGAGCUUGCUCUCGGGUGACGAGUGGCGGACGGGUGAGUAAUGUCUGGGAAACUGCCUGAUGGAGGGGGAUAACUACUGGAAACGGUGGCUAAUACCGCAUAACGUCGCAAGACCAAAGAGGGGGACCUUCGGGCCUCUUGCCAUCAGAUGUGCCCAGAUGGGAUUAGCUUGUUGGUGAGGUAACGGCUCACCAAGGCGACGAUCCCUAGCUGGUCUGAGAGGAUGACCAGCCACACUGGAACUGAGACACGGUCCAGACUCCUACGGGAGGCAGCAGUGGGGAAUAUUGCACAAUGGGCGCAAGCCUGAUGCAGCCAUGCCGCGUGUAUGAAGAAGGCCUUCGGGUUGUAAAGUACUUUCAGCGGGGAGGAAGGUGUUGUGGUUAAUAACCACAGCAAUUGACGUUACCCGCAGAAGAAGCACCGGCUAACUCCGUGCCAGCAGCCGCGGUAAUACGGAGGGUGCAAGCGUUAAUCGGAAUUACUGGGCGUAAAGCGCACGCAGGCGGUCUGUCAAGUCGGAUGUGAAAUCCCCGGGCUCAACCUGGGAACUGCAUUCGAAACUGGCAGGCUUGAGUCUUGUAGAGGGGGGUAGAAUUCCAGGUGUAGCGGUGAAAUGCGUAGAGAUCUGGAGGAAUACCGGUGGCGAAGGCGGCCCCCUGGACAAAAGACUGACGCUCAGGUGCGAAAGCGUGGGGAGCAAACAGGAUUAGAUACCCUGGUAGUCCACGCCGUAAACGAUGUCUACUUGGAGGUUGUGCCCUUGAGGCGUGGCUUCCGGAGCUAACGCGUUAAGUAGACCGCCUGGGGAGUACGGCCGCAAGGUUAAAACUCAAAUGAAUUGACGGGGGCCCGCACAAGCGGUGGAGCAUGUGGUUUAAUUCGAUGCAACGCGAAGAACCUUACCUGGUCUUGACAUCCACAGAAGAAUCCAGAGAUGGAUUUGUGCCUUCGGGAACUGUGAGACAGGUGCUGCAUGGCUGUCGUCAGCUCGUGUUGUGAAAUGUUGGGUUAAGUCCCGCAACGAGCGCAACCCUUAUCCUUUGUUGCCAGCGGUCCGGCCGGGAACUCAAAGGAGACUGCCAGUGAUAAACUGGAGGAAGGUGGGGAUGACGUCAAGUCAUCAUGGCCCUUACGACCAGGGCUACACACGUGCUACAAUGGCGCAUACAAAGAGAAGCGACCUCGCGAGAGCAAGCGGACCUCAUAAAGUGCGUCGUAGUCCGGAUUGGAGUCUGCAACUCGACUCCAUGAAGUCGGAAUCGCUAGUAAUCGUGGAUCAGAAUGCCACGGUGAAUACGUUCCCGGGCCUUGUACACACCGCCCGUCACACCAUGGGAGUGGGUUGCAAAAGAAGUAGGUAGCUUAACCUUCGGGAGGGCGCUUACCACUUUGUGAUUCAUGACUGGGGUGAAGUCGUAACAAGGUAACCGUAGGGGAACCUGCGGUUGGAUCACCUCCUUA
rnacentral:rRNA from 1 species